rnacentral:rRNA from 1 species
CCUACGGGUGGCUGCAGUGGGAAAUAUUGGACAAUGGGGGCAACCCUGAUCCAGCCAUGCCGCGUGUGUGAAGAAGGCCCUCGGGUUGUAAAGCACUUUCAGUGAGGAAGAACGCCUGGUGGUUAAUACCCAUCAGGAAAGACAUCACUCACAGAAGAAGCACCGGCUAACUCCGUGCCAGCAGCCGCGGUAAUACGGAGGGUGCGAGCGUUAAUCGGAAUUACUGGGCGUAAAGCGCGCGUAGGUGGCUUGAUAAGCCGGUUGUGAAAGCCCCGGGCUCAACCUGGGAACGGCAUCCGGAACUGUCAAGCUAGAGUGCAGGAGAGGAAGGUAGAAUUCCCGGUGUAGCGGUGAAAUGCGUAGAGAUCGGGAGGAAUACCAGUGGCGAAGGCGGCCUUCUGGACUGACACUGACACUGAGGUGCGAAAGCGUGGGUAGCAAACAGGAUUAGAUACCCCGGUAGUC